AUUAAAACUGGAAAACAAGUCCUAGCUGGUUCGAGCCAAACACCAACGUUAACUCGCGGGUAUUUUCUAUGGUGGUUGGGAUGGCCGUGCUUCUUUUGCCUUUUGUUUGAUUUGACUGUGUAUUUUCGCCUUUUGUCUCUUAAUGACGAUCACACCAUUGCUAUAUCCAGAGCAGUAAACAGUCCUCAGCGAAGCCGCCUUUUGCCAACCCAACCCUGGAAAGUUUGCAGAAGUGGAAGGAGCAGAAAAUGCCAUGAGAGUAUAACUUACAAAAAGGCUCUUGGCUGGAGAAAAGGCAGCUGCCUGGCACCCCCAGAGUGAACUAUCCUCCUUUGGACAGCACCAGCAGGCCUAAUGUCACUCUGACAAGAAGGCCCUCCCUGAGCCUCAGGGUCAGAUCCAGGGCUGGCUGGAAAGGUAAGUGGUUCUCCCCUCAUUCGGAGGCCUCCUUCAUCCUUCAUCUCCUGCUGGCCUCAGGCUGCCAUUACAGACACACCCCCAGCCCUGCCUCACCAGCCAGUCACAGCUUCUCUUAAGUCACCAGAGACAGCUUGAGUACCUGGCUUUGGCUGGGCACUUCUUUUCAGGAGCUUUCCUCUCUUGAGCCUGGCAGAAAGGCCCUCCCUGAUCUGACUCCAGUUACCUUGACAACCCUGUCUGGCCUCCCUGCUCACUCUCAGGCACCGUGGAACCUAAUGGGGUUUUCCAGCCACCAUGCGUUUGCCCAGGGUGCCCAUCCUGUUUCCAUUGGUCUUCCCUCUCAACAUUGCCUGUAUUAGGUUCGACCUUCCCUAAGCCCUCAUCUCUAAAUUGUUCACAUCUCCCAGACUCCUUUAGACUGUUCCCCAAGACUUAGCUGCUUUGCAGGAAGGAACAUGGUUGCCUCUCAAUAAAUUUGUGUUGGAAAAAAGGAA
rnacentral:lncRNA from 1 species